GGUAGCGUGGCCGAGCGGUCUAAGGCGCUCGUUUUCGGCACCAGUCAUUUCGAUGGCGUGGGUUCGAAUCCCACCGCUGCCA
rnacentral:tRNA from 1 species